rnacentral:rRNA from 1 species
ACAUGCGCACAUGCCUCUUCCCUCGUGGAAGGGUAGUGUUUAUUAGAUACAGAACCAACCCACCUUCGGGUGGUCCUCAGGUGAUUCAUAGUAACCGAACGGAUCGCAUUAUGGCCUUUUGGUCGGCGAUGGAUCAUUCAAGUUUCUGACCUAUCAGCUUUCGACGGUACUGUAUUGGACUACCGUGGCAGUGACGGGUAACGGGGAAUUAGGGUUCGAUUCCGGAGAGGGAGCCUGAGAAACGGCUACCACAUCUAAGGAAGGCAGCAGGCGCGCAAAUUACCCAAUCCUGACUCAGGGAGGUAGUGACAAGAAAUAACAACACUGGAAAUUAUAUUUCUAGUGAUUGGAAUGAUGGGAAUCCAAACCCCUUUCAGAGUAACAAUUGGAGGGCAAGUCUGGUGCCAGCAGCCGCGGUAAUUCCAGCUCCAAUAGCGUAUAUUAAAGUUGUUGCAGUUAAAAAGCUCGUAGUUGGAUAUCUGCUGGAAGCAGCCAGUCCGCCCUUUGUGGGUGUGCACUUGGUGAAUUCUGGCAUCCUCCUGAUUGGUGUUAUCAUCACUUCAUUGUGUUGAUGGCAGCUGUCAGGACCGUUACUUUGAGAAAAUUAGAGUGUUUCAAGCAGGCUUGUUGCCUUGAAUACUGCAGCAUGGAAUAACAAGAUAGGAUUUCGGUUCUAUUUUGUUGGUUUCUAGGACUGAAGUAAUGAUUAAUAGGGACAGUUGGGGGCAUUCGUAUUUAACUGUCAGAGGUGAAAUUCUUAGAU